ACCAGUACAGAUCACAGGUGGUCUACAAGCAGCCAGGGGGUUGUUUAAGUUGGUGUAUUAGAAAACCUGGUAAAAUUUCAAAAUAAUUGAAACCAAAACCAAACAGAAAUAAGUUGAGAGAUGUGAACUUCUCUGCUUUGAGUAGAAGGGUGAAUACCGCAGAGUUUCUUCUGAAAUGGUUGAAAAAAAAAUCACUAAUUUAUACUCUAAAUCAGUCCUCCCAAGACCACCUCUAUCAGCAGUAUUGAUGAAGAAUGGUGAAGAAAAAGAAUUAUUAAACAGUAGUAACUAAAUACACACUACUCCUGUUGGACUGUACCUGCAUUGUCUAUGAAGUAGCACCUCAGAGCCUGGAAACUGGUUUGCUACUUACAGUAUACAUCCAUACUUCAUAUAUCCAUACCUCCAUUAGCAAAGUGUACGCUCCACAGCAGAAUGGAAGACGUUGCACAUCAUAAAAGUAUAGAGCUGUUUUCCUUCACCUAGACCUUUGAUAGUUUUUAACACCAGUGUAUUGAUACAAAUACCUGUCAAAACAGGAUGAUCAUGAUUGCCUCUAUUUCACAUCAACUUUGUAUUAAUGAAAACCAUUGCAUAGUGCAUCUGAUGUUACAUAUCACUGUACAAUAUAUUACAUCCUUAGAAUAUAUUGGUGGCAGUUUAACUUUGAAGGAAGAGUCUUCUCUUUUAAAAUCUAGAAGAAAUAAAUUUUGUUGUGUACUUAAUGCCCAGCUUCCAAGCUGUAGCUUUUUUCAAAAAGAUAAAAUGUAAACAUUUGAGGACAACAUUAUUGUUAUCUCAUUCACUUUUUGGGACCAACAUUAUCUCACUGGCACAGUUUCAAGGUAGAAUGCUUUUAGGUGUGUAGAACAAAAAUUUCUGUGGAUGUUUAGUGAAGUAUGUCUAUUUAACACUCUGUCAAAUUUGUAAGAAUCAUAUCUUUCUGGAAGAAAUAAACAAUGAUAAUUAAUGGCUGGCUCUGAGGUGAACUUCGAGAGAAGAAAAAAUAUUAACUUUACUUUUCUGUUUCCUCCUGUAUCUUAAAUGCCAGUUGUUUGCUCUUUAUCCCAUACUUGCACACAAACCACUGGCAUUAACCAUUGCUUGUUAAACAUGCUUGAGGCUUGUUCGACAUUUUUCUUAGACGACAUUGUGUUGCGGAUCACUGGUUUCCAAUAGACAAUUCUUAAAUAAAUUGUAUCACUUUACCAAAAAAAAAAAAAAAAAAAAAAAAAAAAAAAAGAAGAAGGCAGAUCCAGGAUCAUAUUUAUACUCCAUCAAUCAUCUGAAAGAGCUUUUCAAGUCCACUUCAAAUGUUGUUUCUUUGCCAGGGUAGAAGAAUUGUGUGGCAUAUAAAAAAAUGGAAUGUUCCAUAAGUAAUUUAAGCUCUACCAUUACAAAUAUUGUUUUGCUGGGGCACGCUAGCAAAAUCUAUAUGUAUGCCAAUUAUUCUAUUAAACAUCCAAGCCUGAAAUAACCAGAGGUUUAUUUCAUUCAUGUAACUUGAAUGACCUGAUGGUUUUUGAUAUUUUUAUGGGAGGCAUUUUGUAACUUAGUAUCACGACAACUGGUGGCUAAUAAAUUACAUGAAGUUCAUAAAAAAGCUUGUAAAUAAAAGCAAAUUUACUAAGAAACAAAGAUCCUGAUUCUCCUUUU